ACAAAGCACUAUAAAAGAUCAGAUUGACGUAUUCUGUGGGCUCAUUCAAUGUCGCGAGCAAGGCUUCUGCACACGGUCGCUGGUCCUUGUGGCUCCACAUCCUGACGCGGGACUGAGGGAUAGAGGUGGGAUGAGGCUAGACCCCCUGGUCCCCUUUUUGGAACUGUGCUGAAUUCAUCAGAGCCACGUCCCAGGGCAGCUAACCCACACAUGACGACUGAGGGACAGAGGAAAACAUAGCAGGGUAGAGACCCGUGGAUUUGCUCAUUUGGAUUUUUGGAUUUUGACCUGACUUUCUUUGUCCAUCCUCAUGCCAGAUGCAGGUUGCUGGCCACCCUCCUGAUUAGCUAUGGAUAACGCUAUUCUGAAUGACCCCACUCCUAAACAUGAAGGCACAGUCCUAUUUAUGAGAGUUUGGGUCAGAAGAGGCUUGGCCAAGAAGACACCUCAUGGGUGGAGUGAUACUCACCUAACCACACCUCUGGUAUGCUGUGACACCCCAAGGAGCAUGUGUGGCAGGUGUGAGUUGAGAUAAUUUGACAGAGAGACACUCCUUUUAUUUCUGUCUUCUGGAGAAUCAAAUACAGCUAAGAGGUGACAUUUGCAAGGCACUUAAUACAUACUAGACACGUUGGUUAGCACUUCAGAAGCAAUAGUUUUUUAUUCCUUUUAUAAGGUAAGAUACAGUUUCAUUUGGCCCAAAAGUGAACAGUGAGAGAGCCAAGAAGAAUCCAACAUCGAAACUGUUUGAAAACACUGCUUUUGGAUAGAACGCUCUUCCUUCUAUGACAAGUAGAGAGUAAGGGGAAAAAAAUUAAUAUCACACCUGUGGGAGGCAAAUAGUCAGUGUAAAGAAAACAACUGUAUCCUGAGAACUAAAAGAAAAGCAUACCUCUGGAAAUUACUCUAUAGGAGACAUUUUUGCAUCCUUGGAGUAGAACCAAGUUGACGGGCAGAGAAUAUAGAGGAUAUUGAAGAGAAACAACUGCAAAGAAACAGAACUUGUAAUGUCAAAAAUGUCUGUCUGAGAGAUAGUAAAUCAUGGACUUGACAAGUGAAAUCAACAAACUUAAGACCAAACUUCAGAAACUGCAAGAAUGCAGUAAGAAAGGAUAAAGAGAGUGAGAAAACCGUAAAAGGAAAAUGACCAAUAUGGAAAAGAGAGAAUAAAGACUCAGUAAAAA